rnacentral:rRNA from 1 species
GGGUAUAAUACCCGAUAGGUCUCGAUUGCUGGAAUGCAUAGAGAUUUAAAGCUCCGCCGCCUAAGGAUGGGUCUGCGGCCUAUCAGGUAGUAGUGGGUGUAGCGUACCUACUAGCCUACGACGGGUACGGGUUGUGAGAGCAAGAGCCCGGAGAUGGAUUCUGAGACACGAAUCCAGGCCCUACGGGGUGCAGCAGGCGCGAAAACUUUACAAUGCUGGCAACAGCGAUAAGGGAACCUCGAGUGCCAGGUUACAAAUCUGGCUGUCGAGAUGCCUAAAAAGCAUUUCAUAGCAAGGGCCGGGCAAGACCGGUGCCAGCCGCCGCGGUAACACCGGCGGCUCGAGUGGUAACCGUUAUUAUUGGGUCUAAAGGGUCUGUAGCCGGCCGGAUAAGUCUCUUGAGAAAUCUGGCAGCUUAACUGUCAGGCUUUCAGGAGAUACUGUCUGGCUCGAGGCCGGGAGAGGUGAGAGGUACUUCAGGGGUAGGGGUGAAACCUUGUAAUCCUUGAAGGACCACCAGAGGCGAAGGCGUCUCACCAGAACGGACCUGACGGCAAGGGACGAAAGCUAGGGGCACGAACCGGAUUAGAUACCCGGGUAGUCCUAGCCGUAAACGAUACUCGCUAGGUGUCGGCCACGGUGCGACCGUUGUCGGUGCCGUAGGGAAGCCGUGAAGCGAGCCACCUGGGAAGUACGGCCGCAAGGCUGAAACUUAAAGGAAUUGGCGGGGGAGCACCACAACGGGUGGAGCUUGCGGUUUAAUUGGAUUCAACGCCGGGAAGGGC